rnacentral:rRNA from 1 species
GGGUUGUGAGGUUAAGCGACUAAGCGUACACGGUGGAUGCCCUGGCAGUCAGAGGCGAUGAAGGACGUGCUAAUCUGCGAAAAGCGUCGGUAAGGUGAUAUGAACCGUUAUAGCCGGCGAUGUCCGAAUGGGGAAACCCAGUGCAAUUCGUUGCACUAUCGUUAACUGAAUACAUAGGUUAACGAGGCGAACCGGGGGAACUGAAACAUCUAAGUACCCCGAGGAAAAGAAAUCAACCGAGAUUCCCCCAGUAGCGGCGAGCGAACGGGGAGCAGCCCAGAGUCUGAAUCAGCUUGUGUGUUAGUGGAACGGUCUGGAAAGUCCGACGGUACAGGGUGAUAGUCCCGUACACCAAAAUGCACAGGCUGUGAACUCGAAGAGUAGGGCGGGACACGUGGUAUCCUGUCUGAAUAUGGGGGGACCAUCCUCCAAGGCUAAAUACUCCUGACUGACCGAUAGUGAACCAGUACCGUGAGGGAAAGGCGAAAAGAACCCCGGCGAGGGGAGUGAAAAAGAACCUGAAACCGUGUACGUACAAGCAGUGGGAGCACCUUCGGGUGUGACUGCGUACCUUUUGUAUAAUGGGUCAGCGACUUAUAUUCUGUAGCAAGGUUAACCGUAUAGGGGAGCCGCAGGGAAACCGAGUCUUAACUGGGCGUUAAGUUGCAGGGUAUAGACCCGAAACCCGGUGAUCUAGCCAUGGGCAGGUUGAAGGUUGGGUAACACUAACUGGAGGACCGAACCGACUAAUGUUGAAAAAUUAGCGGAUGACUUGUGGCUGGGGGUGAAAGGCCAAUCAAACCGGGAGAUAGCUGGUUCUCCCCGAAAGCUAUUUAGGUAGCGCCUCGUGAACUCAUCUUCGGGGGUAGAGCACUGUUUCGGCUAGGGGGUCAUCCCGACUUACCAACCCGAUGCAAACUACGAAUACCGAAGAAUGUUAUCACGGGAGACACACGGCGGGUGCUAACGUCCGUCGUGAAGAGGGAAACAACCCAGACCGCCAGCUAAGGUCCCAAAGUCAUGGUUAAGUGGGAAACGAUGUGGGAAGGCACAGACAGCCAGGAUGUUGGCUUAGAAGCAGCCAUCAUUUAAAGAAAGCGUAAUAGCUCACUGGUCGAGUCGGCCUGCGCGGAAGAUGUAACGGGGCUAAACCAUGCACCGAAGCUGCGGCAGCGACACUAUGUGUUGUUGGGUAGGGGAGCGUUCUGUAAGCCUGCGAAGGUGACCUGUGAGGGUUGCUGGAGGUAUCAGAAGUGCGAAUGCUGACAUAAGUAACGAUAAAGCGGGUGAAAAGCCCGCUCGCCGGAAGACCAAGGGUUCCUGUCCAACGUUAAUCGGGGCAGGGUGAGUCGACCCCUAAGGCGAGGCCGAAAGGCGUAGUCGAUGGGAAACAGGUUAAUAUUCCUGUACUUGGUGUUACUGCGAAGGGGGGACGGAGAAGGCUAUGUUAGCCGGGCGACGGUUGUCCCGGUUUAAGCAUGUAGGCUGGUUGUCCAGGCAAAUCCGGAUAAUCAAGGCUGAGGUGUGAUGACGAGGCACUACGGUGCUGAAGUAACAAAUGCCCUGCUUCCAGGAAAAGCCUCUAAGCAUCAGGUAACAUUAAAUCGUACCCCAAACCGACACAGGUGGUCAGGUAGAGAAUACCAAGGCGCUUGAGAGAACUCGGGUGAAGGAACUAGGCAAAAUGGUGCCGUAACUUCGGGAGAAGGCACGCUGGUGUGUAGGUGAAGCCCCUGCGGGUGGAGCUGAGACCAGUCGAAGAUACCAGCUGGCUGCAACUGUUUAUUAAAAACACAGCACUGUGCAAACACGAAAGUGGACGUAUACGGUGUGACGCCUGCCCGGUGCCGGAAGGUUAAUUGAUGGGGUUAUCCGUAAGGAGAAGCUCUUGAUCGAAGCCCCGGUAAACGGCGGCCGUAACUAUAACGGUCCUAAGGUAGCGAAAUUCCUUGUCGGGUAAGUUCCGACCUGCACGAAUGGCGUAAUGAUGGCCAGGCUGUCUCCACCCGAGACUCAGUGAAAUUGAACUCGCUGUGAAGAUGCAGUGUACCCGCGGCAAGACGGAAAGACCCCGUGAACCUUUACUAUAGCUUGACACUGAACAUUGAGCCUUGAUGUGUAGGAUAGGUGGGAGGCUUUGAAGCGUGGACGCCAGUCUGCGUGGAGCCAACCUUGAAAUACCACCCUUUAAUGUUUGAUGUUCUAACGUUGGCCCCUGACCGGGGUUGCGGACAGUGUCUGGUGGGUAGUUUGACUGGGGCGGUCUCCUCCCAAAGCGUAACGGAGGAGCACGAAGGUUAGCUAAUCCUGGUCGGACAUCAGGAGGUUAGUGCAAUGGCAUAAGCUAGCUUGACUGCGAGCGUGACGGCGCGAGCAGGUGCGAAAGCAGGUCAUAGUGAUCCGGUGGUUCUGAAUGGAAGGGCCAUCGCUCAACGGAUAAAAGGUACUCCGGGGAUAACAGGCUGAUACCGCCCAAGAGUUCAUAUCGACGGCGGUGUUUGGCACCUCGAUGUCGGCUCAUCACAUCCUGGGGCUGAAGUAGGUCCCAAGGGUAUGGCUGUUCGCCAUUUAAAGUGGUACGCGAGCUGGGUUUAGAACGUCGUGAGACAGUUCGGUCCCUAUCUGCCGUGGGCGCUGGAGAAUUGAGGGGGGCUGCUCCUAGUACGAGAGGACCGGAGUGGACGCAUCACUGGUGUUCGGGUUGUCAUGCCAAUGGCACUGCCCGGUAGCUAAAUGCGGAAGAGAUAAGUGCUGAAAGCAUCUAAGCACGAAACUUGCCCCGAGAUGAGUUCUCCCUGAGACUUUAAGUCUCCUGAAGGAACGUUAAAGACGAUGACGUUGAUAGGCCGGGUGUGUAAGCGCAGCGAUGCGUUGAGCUAACCGGUACUAAUGAACCGUGAGGCUUAACCUUACAACGCCGAAG